rnacentral:tRNA from 1 species
UCCUGGGAUAGCUCAGUUGGUAGAGCAUGAGACUGUUAAUCACAGGGCCAAGGGUUCGAGCCCCACUUCGGGAA